UACAAGAUUGUAAAUGGCGUGCUUCUUUCAUGUGAGGUUCCUACAUACAAAACUUGAAACAACAAAGAAAACAAAUAUAUAUACCUACUGUUAACCUAUUCUUAAAAAAUAAAAAUUGUCCAAAAUUAAUUAUAAUCCAAAAAUAAAAAUAAAAAGUUCAGUCAAUCAUCCUCAUCCUCGAAAUCCAUCUCAUCCCCUUCCUC
rnacentral:lncRNA from 1 species